UUAUACAGGGUGCUUGGAAACUGGUGGUACAAGCGGAAAGGGGAUGAUUCUACGCGAAAAAAGAAGUCGAAAAUAUAAAAUAAAAAUUUUUCGUUUGAGGCUUUGUUUUCGAGAAAAUCGAAUCUGAAUUUUCGCUCGGUACGCGUGCACUUUAUCACGUCUCGUUAUAACGGAUCUCACUGUAGAUCGUUGUCUCGAUGGAUAUUAUCGCAAAAAAUUUUUAUUCUAUAUUUUCGACUUCUUUUUUCGCGUAGAAUCACCCCCUUUCCGCUUGUACCGCCAGUUACCAACCAUCCUGUAUAAUAAAUGAG
rnacentral:misc_RNA from 1 species